GUCAGGAUGGCCGAGUGGUCUAAGGCGCCAGACUCAAGCUUUGCUUCCUCCUGUUGAGGAUUCUGGUCUCCGAAUGGAGGCGUGGGUUCGAAUCCCACUUCUGACA
rnacentral:tRNA from 1 species